rnacentral:rRNA from 1 species
GCGUGUGUGAAGAAGGUCUUCGGAUUGUAAAGCCCUUUCGACAGGGACGAUGAUGACGGUACCUGUAGAAGAAGCCCCGGCUAACUUCGUGCCAGCAGCCGCGGUAAUACGAAGGGGGCUAGCGUUGCUCGGAAUCACUGGGCGUAAAGGGCGCGUAGGCGGCUUGGUCAGUCAGGCGUGAAAUUCCUGGGCUUAACCUGGGGACUGCGCUUGAUACGGCCAGGCUUGAGGCCGAGAGAGGGUGGUGGAAUUCCCAGUGUAGAGGUGAAAUUCGU